GAUUAGCCAUGCUAGUCGCACGAGUUCAGACUCGUGGCGAAUAGCUCAGUAACACGUGGCCAAACUACCCUUCGGAACACAAUACCCUCGGGAAACUGAGGCUAAUAGUGUAUACCAUACCACCACUGGAAUGAGUGGUAUGCCAAACGCUCCGGCGCCGAAGGAUGUGGCUGCGGCCGAUUAGGUAGACGGUGGGGUAACGGCCCACCGUGCCAAUAAUCGGUAUGGGUCAUGAGAGUGAGAACCCAGAGACGGAAUCUGAGACAAGAUUCCGGGCCCUACGGGGCGCAGCAGGCGCGAAACCUUUACACUGCACGACAGUGCGAUAGGGGGAUCCCAAGUGCACAGGCAUAGCGCCUGUGCUUUUCGGUACCCUAAGGCGGUACCAGAAUAAGGGCUGGGCAAGACCGGUGCCAGCCGCCGCGGUAAUACCGGCAGCCCAAGUGAUGGCCGAUCUUAUUGGGCCUAAAGCGUCCGUAGCUGGCCGCGCAAGUCCAUCGGGAAAUCCACCUGCUCAACAGGUGGGCGCCCGGUAGAAACUGCGUGGCUUGGGACCGGAAGGCGCGACGGGUACGUCCGGGGUAGGAGUGAAAUCCCGUAAUCCUGGACGGACCGCC
rnacentral:rRNA from 2 species